GUCUGUGGGCAUACCACCCUGAACGUGCCUGAUCUCGGAAGCUAAGCAGGGUCGGCCCUGGUUAGUACUUGGAUGGGAGACACACAAAGCAGGAGGGCAAGAACCCUGAGACCGAGAGCU
rfam:Otolemur garnettii contig165028, whole genome shotgun sequence.